UGAGGAAUGUUGGGCAAUGCCCGCAAGGGUGACCCAGCAACGCCGCGUGGAGGAUGAAUGUCGUAAGAUUGUAAACUCCUGUUAGAGGGGAAGAAUAGUACCGGUUGGACCGGUAUAUGACUGUACCCUCAGAGAAAGCCCCGGCUAACUACGUGCCAGCAGCCGCGGUAAUACGUAGGGGGCAAGCGUUGUCCGGAUUUACUGGGUGUAAAGGGCGCGCAGGCGGGAUAAAAAGUCAGUGGUGAAAUCCUACAGCUUAACUGUAGAACUGCCUUUGAUACUUUUAUUCUUGAGUUCGGGAGAGAGAGACGGAAUUCCAGGUGUAGUGGUGAAAUACGUAGAUAUCUGGAAGAACACCAGUUGCGAAGGCGGUCUCUUGGUCCGACACUGACGCUGAGGCGCGAAAGCGUGGGGAGCAAACA
rnacentral:rRNA from 1 species